rnacentral:rRNA from 1 species
AUUGAACGCUGGCGGAAUGCUUUACACAUGCAAGUCGAACGGCAGCACGGGGCAACCUGGUGGCGAGUGGCGAACGGGUGAGUAAUACAUCGGAACGUGCCCAAUCGUGGGGGAUAACGUAGCGAAAGUUACGCUAAUACCGCAUACGAUCUACGGAUGAAAGCGGGGGAUCGCAAGACCUCGCGCGAAUGGAGCGGCCGAUGUCAGAUUAGGUAGUUGGUGGGGUAAAGGCUCACCAAGCCAACGAUCUGUAGCUGGUCUGAGAGGACGACCAGCCACACUGGAACUGAGACACGGUCCAGACUCCUACGGGAGGCAGCAGUGGGGAAUUUUGGACAAUGGGCGCAAGCCUGAUCCAGCCAUUCCGCGUGCAGGAUGAAGGCCUCGGUUGUAACUAGCUUUGUACGGACGAAACGGACGAGCUCUAAUACAGUUUGCUAAUGACGGUACCGUAAGAAUAAGCACCGGCUAACUACGUGCCAGCAGCCGAC